rnacentral:misc_RNA from 1 species
CUUAGUUGAGUUGAGUUGAGUUAUCUUGCACAUUUAUCAAUGCAUUUAUUGCUAAUAUCCUUUGUGUGCAUGUCAUUUAUUUAUUUAUUUUCAAUGGUGUUUGGGUUGAUCAUCAUGGGUGGUUUUUAUUUUGUUUUAGUGUGGAGCAUUGAUGAUUUACUAAAUGUUUGAAUAACUUCACAUUGUCUAGGAGUUCUUGCGGCUGUGGUUC